rnacentral:tmRNA from 2 species
GGGGGCGAAAUAGGAUCGACGAGGGCGUAAAGGGCGAGCUUUUUCCCGGUAUUGUUCCGCCGUUAUCGGGCUACUGCAAUAGUUGCCAACGACAACUUUGCUCCGGUUGCUCAGGCUGCGUAACGCAGUUUGAAAGACCACCUUAAAGUCCUAACGGGUUAAGCUCCGUUAGGCGGGGUUCGGAGGCACCUGGCAACAGAAGCCUCCACU